GUAUUACAGUAUGUGAAGAUUAAUGAAUACUUUUUUUUUGCUAGGCUCUGAAUGACAAAGUUCCCCCACCACCACCCCAACCCCAAACUCCAAAACCUUCAAAAUAUGGGCCAAAAUCCAAAUUUGAUGAAAAUGAGAAGUUGAUGACCUCCAUUUGGGCUCUGUUUGGGGCCCAAAUAAUGGAAGGUCGCGUGCCGAAAAAAGAAGCUCGGAAAGUAUAUGCUGCUAAUGCAGAGCUGCAUGAAUUUCAGUUUCAGCAGCUAUAUGAUAAAAUGCGGCGAAUGUACCCUAAGUACAAGAAACUUUGAACUGCUGCAGCACCCACAAAACGACAAUGCUGUGUGUAUAUAUAUGUGACCCGAUCUGGCAAAACCCUACUUUUGUCGAAAAUUUUCUAAAUUGAGUUUUAUGCUGCAUUUUUGGCUAACAGAA